rnacentral:rRNA from 1 species
GAGGAAGACGCAGUGAACUGAAACAUCUAAGUAGCUGCAGGAAGAGAAAGCAAAAGCGAUUGCCUUAGUAGCGGCGAGCGAAACGGCAGGAGGGCAAACCGAAGAGUUUACUCUUCGGGGUUGUAGGACUGCAAUGUGGACUCAAAGACUAUAGAAGAAUGACAUGGGAAGGUCAGCCAAAGAGAGUGAGAGCCUCGUAUUUAAAAUAGUCUUUGUACCUAGCAGUAUCCUGAGUACGGCGAGACACGUGAAAUCUCGUCGGAAUCUGGGAGGACCAUCUCCCAACCCUAAAUACUCCCUAGUGACCGAUAGUGAACCAGUACCGUGAGGGAAAGGUGAAAAGCACCCCGGGAGGGGAGUGAAAUAGAACCUGAAACCGUGUGCCUACAACAAGUUCGAGCCCGUUAAUGGGUGAGAGCGUGCCUUUUGUAGAAUGAACCGGCGAGUUACGAUAUGAUGCGAGGUUAAGUUGAAGAGACGGAGCCGUAGGGAAACCGAGUCUGAAUAGGGCGCUUUAGUAUUAUGUCGUAGACCCGAAACCAUGUGACCUACCCAUGAGCAGGUUGAAGGUGAGGUAAAACUCACUGGAGGACCGAACCAGGGCACGUUGAAAAGUGCUUGGAUGACUUGUGGGUAGCGGAGAAAUUCCAAACGAACUUGGAGAUAGCUGGUUCUCUCCGAAAUAGCUUUAGGGCUAGCGUCGACAUUAAGAUUCUUGGAGGUAGAGCACUGUUUGGGUGAGGGGUCCAUCCCGGAUUACCAAUCUCAGAUAAACUCCGAAUGCCAAUGAAUUAUGGUCGGCAGUCAGACUGCGAGUGCUAAGAUCCGUAGUCGAAAGGGAAACAGCCCAGACCACCAGCUAAGGUCCCAAAAUAAUUGUUAAGUGGAAAAGGAUGUGGGGUUGCACAGACAACUAGGAUGUUAGCUUAGAAGCAGCUAUUCAUUCAAAGAGUGCGUAAUAGCUCACUAGUCGAGUGACCCUGCGCCGAAAAUGUACCGGGGCUAAAACAAUUUACCGAAGCUGUGGAUACCUUUAUAGGUAUGGUAGGAGAGCGUUCUAUGUGUGGAGAAGGUGUACCGUGAGGAGCGCUGGAACGCAUAGAAGUGAGAAUGCCGGUAUGAGUAGCGAAAGACAGGUGAGAAUCCUGUCCACCGUAAGACUAAGGUUUCCAGGGGAAGGCUCGUCCGCCCUGGGUUAGUCGGGACCUAAGGAGAGACCGAAAGGUGUAUCCGAUGGACAACAGGUUGAUAUUCCUGUACUAGAGUAUGUAGUGAUGGAGGGACGCAGUAGGCUAACUAAAGCAGACGAUUGGAAGUGUCUGUCUAAGCAGUGAGGUGUGAAUUGAGUUAAAUGCUUAGUUCUAUAACAUUGAGCUGUGAUGGGGAGCGAAGUUUAGUAGCGAAGUUAGUGAUGUCACACUGCCAAGAAAAGCUUCUAGCGUUUAAACAUACUCUACCCGUACCGCAAACCGACACAGGUAGUCGAGGCGAGUAGCCUCAGGUGAGCGAGAGAACUCUCGUUAAGGAACUCGGCAAAAUGACCCCGUAACUUCGGGAGAAGGGGUGCUGGCUUUAGGUCAGCCGCAGUGAAUAGGCCCAAGCAACUGUUUAUCAAAAACACAGCUCUCUGCUAAAUCGUAAGAUGAUGUAUAGGGGGUGACGCCUGCCCGGUGCUGGAAGGUUAAGAGGAGUGCUUAGCGCAAGCGAAGGUAUGAAUUGAAGCCCCAGUAAACGGCGGCCGUAACUAUAACGGUCCUAAGGUAGCGAAAUUCCUUGUCGGGUAAGUUCCGACCCGCACGAAAGGCGUAAUGAUUUGGGCACUGUCUCAACGAGAGACUCGGUGAAAUUUUAGUACCUGUGAAGAUGCAGGUUACCCGCGACAGGACGGAAAGACCCCAUGGAGCUUUACUGCAGUUUGAUAUUGAGUGUCUGUGCCACAUGUACAGGAUAGGUAGGAGCCAUAGAGAUCGGGACGCCAGUUUCGAUGGAGGCGAUGUUGGGAUACUACCCUUGUGUUAUGGCCACUCUAACCCGGAUAGGUGAUCCCUAUCGGAGACAGUGUCUGACGGGCAGUUUGACUGGGGCGGUCGCCUCCUAAAAGGUAACGGAGGCGCCCAAAGGUUCCCUCAGAAUGGUUGGAAAUCAUUCGCAGAGUGUAAAGGUAUAAGGGAGCUUGACUGCGAGAGCUACAACUCGAGCAGGGACGAAAGUCGGGCUUAGUGAUCCGGUGGUUCCG